GCCUCGGUAGCUUAGCCGGUAGAAAAUUAUGAAAAUUUACUGAUAGCACUGCCUUGGUAAGGCAGAGGUCGUGAGUUCAAAUCUCACCCGAGGCU
rnacentral:tRNA from 1 species